rnacentral:rRNA from 1 species
UACGUAGGGAGCAAGCGUUGUCCGGAAUUACUGGGCGUAAAGGGUGCGUAGGCGGAUGAGCAAGUCAGAUGUGAAAUACCCGGGCUUAACCCGGGGGGUGCAUUUGAAACUGCUGAUCUUGAGUGCAGGAGAGGUAAGUGGAAUUCCUAGUGUAGCGGUGAAAUGCGUAGAUAUUAGGAGGAACACCAGUGGCGAAGGCGACUUACUGGACUGCAACUGACGCUGAGGCACGAAAGCGUGGGGAGCAAACAGG